AGAGUUUGAUCCUGGCUCAGGACGAACGCUGGCGGCGUGCUUAACACAUGCAAGUCGAACGGUAAGGCCCUUCGGGGUACACGAGUGGCGAACGGGUGAGUAACACGUGGGUAAUCUGCCCUGCACAUCGGGAUAAGCCUGGGAAACUGGGUCUAAUACCGAAUAGGACCACAGAACACAUGUCCUGUGGUGGAAAGCUUUUGCGGUGUGGGAUGGGCCCGCGGCCUAUCAGCUUGUUGGUGGGGUGAUGGCCCACCAAGGCGACGACGGGUAGCCGGCCUGAGAGGGUGUCCGGCCACACUGGGACUGAGAUACGGCCCAGACUCCUACGGGAGGCAG
rnacentral:rRNA from 1 species